AUUGAACGCUGGCGGCAGGCCUAACACAUGCAAGUCGAACGAGUGGCGGACGGGUGAGUAAUGUCUGGGAAACUGCCCGAUGGAGGGGGAUAACUACUGGAAACGGUAGCUAAUACCGCAUACCAUCGGAUGUGCCCAGAUGGGAUUAGCUAGUAGGUGGGGUAACGGCUCACCUAGGCGACGAUCCCUAGCUGGUCUGAGAGGAUGACAGGCCACACGGGAAUGAGGACCGGGUCAAGCCCCCUAGGGGAGGCAGCAGUGGGGAAUAUUGCACAAGGGGCGCAAGCCUGAUGCAGCCAUGCCGGGGGUAUGAAGAAGGCUUUCGGGUUGUAAAGUACUUUCAGCGAGGAGGCGUUACUCGCAGAAGAAGCACCGGCUAACUCCGUGCCAGCAGCCGCGGUAAUA
rnacentral:rRNA from 1 species